rnacentral:rRNA from 1 species
UAGGGAAUCUUCCGCAAUGGACGAAAGUCUGACGGAGCAACGCCGCGUGAGUGAAGAAGGAUUUCGGUUCGUAAAACUCUGUUGUUAGGGAAGAAAAAAUGUAUAGUAACUAUAUACAAAAGAGACGGUACCUAACCAGAAAGCCACGGCUAACUACGUGCCAGCAGCCGCGGUAAUACGUAGGUGGCAAGCGUUGUCCGGAAUUAUUGGGCGUAAAGCGCGCGCAGGUGGUUUAGAAAGUCUGAUGUGAAAGCCCACGGCUCAACCGUGGAGGGUCAUUGGAAACUAAUAAACUUGAGUGCAGGAGAGAAAAGUGGAAUUCCUAGUGUAGCGGUGAAAUGCGUAGAGAUUAGGAGGAACCCCGGUGGCGAAAGCGGCUUUUUGGCCUGCAACUGACACUGAGGCGCGAAAGCGUGGGGAGCAAACAGG